GAUGAACGCUGGCGGCGUGCCUAAUACAUGCAAGUCGAGCGAACAGACGAGGAGCUUGCUCCUCUGACGUUAGCGGCGGACGGGUGAGUAACACGUGGAUAACCUACCUAUAAGACUGGGAUAACUUCGGGAAACCGGUGCUAAUACCGGAUAAUAUAUUGAACCGCAUGGUUCAAUAGUGAAAGACGGUUUUGCUGUCACUUAUAGAUGGAUCCGCGCCGCAUUAGCUAGUUGGUAAGGUAACGGCUUACCAAGGCAACGAUGCGUAGCCGACCUGAGAGGGUGAGCGGCCACACUGGAACUGAGACACGGUGCAGACUCCUACGGGAGGCAGCAGUAGGGAAUCUUCCGCAAUGGGCGAAAGCCUGACGGAGCAACGCCGCGUGAGUGAUGAAGGUCUUCGGAUCGUAAAACUCUGUUAUUAGGGAAGAACAAAUGUGUAAGUAACUAUGCACGUCUUGACGGUACCUGAUGAGAAAGCCACGGCUAACUACGUG
rnacentral:rRNA from 1 species